GGGGGGUAAGAGAGAGAGAGGGAGAGAAACAGAGGGGGCGGUGAGAGAGAGAGGUAGAGAAACAGAGGGGGUGAGAGAGAGAGAGGGAGAGAAACAGAGGGGGGGGUGAGAGAGAGAGGGAGAGAAACAGGGGGAGUGUGAGAGAGAUAGGGAGAGAAACAGAGGGGGUGAGAGAGAGAGGGAGAGAAACAGAGGGGGGUGAGAGAGAGAGGUAGAGAAACAGAGGGGGGUGAGAGAGAGGGAGAGAAACAGAGGGAGGGAGUGGGUGAAAGAGAGAUAGAGAAACAGAGGGGGGGUGUGUGAGAGAGAUAGGGAGAGAAACAGGGGGAGUGUGAGAGAGAUAGGGAGAGAAACAGAGGGGG
ensembl:lncRNA